AGUGAACGCUGGCGGUAGGCCUAACACAUGCAAGUCGAACGGCAGCACAGUAAGAGCUUGCUCUUACGGGUGGCGAGUGGCGGACGGGUGAGGUAUACAUCGGAAUCUACUUUUUCGUGGGGGCUAACGUAGGGAAACUUACGCUAAUACCGCAUACGACCUACGGGUGAAAGCAGGGGAUCUUCGGACCUUGCGCGAUUGAAUGAGCCGAUGUCGGAUUAGCUAGUUGGCGGGGGAAAGGCCAACCAAGGCGACAAUCCGUAGCUGGUCUGAGAGGAUGAUCAGCCACACGGGAACUGAGACACGUUCCAGACUCCGACGGGAGGCAGCAGUGGGGAAUAUUGGACAAUGGGCGCAAGCCUGAUACAGCCAUACCGCGUGGGUGAAGAAGGCCUUCGGGUGCUAAAGCCCUUUUGUUGUGAAAGAAAAGCAGCAGGUUAAUACCCCGCUGUUCUGACGGUACCCAAAGAAUAAGCACCGGCUAACUUCGUG
rnacentral:rRNA from 1 species